rnacentral:rRNA from 1 species
UACGGAGGAUGCAAGCGUUAUCCGGAAUGAUUUGGCGUAAAGCGUCCGCAGGUGGCAGUUCAAGUCUGCUGUCAAAGACCGGGGCUUAACUUCGGAAAGGCAGUGGAAACUGAACAGCUAGAGUAUGGUAGGGGCAGAGGGAAUUCCUGGUGUAGCGGUGAAAUGCGUAGAGAUCAGGAAGAACACCGGUGGCGAAGGCGCUCUGCUGGGCCGUAACUGACACUGAGGGACGAAAGCUAGGGGAGCGAAUGGG